UACGUAGGGGGCAAGCGUUGUCCGGAAUUAUUGGGCGUAAAGCGCGUGUAGGCGGUCCGCUAAGUCGGCUGUGAAAGUCCAGGGCUCAACCCUGGGAUGCCGGUCGAUACUGGCGGACUAGAGUCCGGAAGAGGCGGGUGGAAUUCCCGGUGUAGCGGUGAAAUGCGUAGAGAUGGGGGAGAACACUCGUGGCGAAGGCGGCCAGCUAGACCAGUUCUGACACUGAGGCGCGACAGCGUGGGGAGCAAACAGG
rnacentral:rRNA from 1 species